rnacentral:rRNA from 1 species
CAGAACGAACGCUGGCGGCGCGUUUAAGCAUGCAAGUCGAGCGGCAAGGGCCUUCGGGCCCUAGAGCGGCGGACGGGUGAGUAACACGUGGACAAUCUGCCCCCCGGCCCGGGAUAGCCCAGGGAAACCUGGAUUAAUACCGGAUGAGACGGGACCCGCGAAGGCGGGACCCGGGAAAGGCGCUGCGGCGCCGCCGGGGGAUGAGUCUGCGUCCCAUUAGCUAGACGGCGGGGUAACGGCCCACCGUGGCGACGAUGGGUAGCCGGCCUGAGAGGAUGGUCCCCCACACUGGUACUGAGACACGGACCAGACUCCUACGGGAGGCAGCAGUGAGGAAUAUUGGUCAAUGGGCGGAAGCCUGAACCAGCCAAUGCCGCGUGCAGGAUGACGGCCCUACGGGUUGUAAACUGCUUUUCCCCGGGAAGAAUAAGCCCCUCGUGAGGGGUGAUGCCGGUACCGGGGGAAUAAGGAUCGGCUAACUCCGUGCCAGCCGCCGC